GCUAGUGUAGCUUAACAUAAAGCAUAGCACUGAAAAUGCUAAAAUAAAACCUAAAAAUUUUCACGAGCA
rnacentral:tRNA from 1 species